rnacentral:rRNA from 1 species
AGUGAACGCUGGCGGCGUGCUUAACACAUGCAAGUCGAACGAGAACGGAUUAUAGCUUGCUAUAAUUGUCAGCUAAGUGGCGCACGGGUGAGUAAUGUAUAGGUAAUAUGCCUCUUACUAAGGGAUAACAAAUGGAAACGUUUGCUAAUACCUUAUACUCCUUAUUAACAGAAGUUAAUAAGGGAAAGAUUUAUUGGUAAGAGAUUAGCCUGUAUUGUAUCAGUUAGUUGGUGGGGUAAUGGCUUACCAAGACUAUGACACAUAACUGGUUUGAGAGGAUGAUCAGUCACACUGGAACUGAGACACGGUCCAGACUCCUACGGGAGGCAGCAGUGGGGAAUAUUGCACAAUGGACGAAAGUCUGAUGCAGCAACGCCGCGUGGAGGAUGACACAUUUCGGUGCGUAAACUCCUUUUAUAUGAGAAGAUAAUGACGGUAUUAUAUGAAUAAGCACCGGCUAACUCCGUGCCAGCCGCCGCCUAACAC